ACUCUUGAAUUGGCAAUAGAAGUCAAAUUUCAUACAAAUUUCCUUCCAUAAAUCGAACUUUUUGGUUAGGGCGUAAUACAAAAUUUACAAUUUCACUAUCGAGACAGAAUUUUAAAAGAGUCCCUCUAUAUUGUACGGAUGCGAACAAACAAUAUGAUAUUACACUUAUGGAUUGCAUAAAUGAUCUAACGAAAGCAUGGGAUAUAGACGUCAAGCGCCAAACAAUAGCAAAUUGUAACAAACGAAAUACAGAAUGCAUAUUUUAACGAAUAUAAAAAUAAUAUUUCAUCUUACUGUAAAUGCGAUAUACGCAAUAGAAGCAACAACAACAAUAGUCAACAAAAAGGGCGUAAACAUGGAAUGUGUAAAUACUUGUUGAAUAGAAUAAUAUUAUCUUGACUUAAAACGCAACUAAUUUCCCAUACAGAUAUUUCAAACCUCACACGGCGCGUUAAAGGUACGCAACCUAAUUGAUGUCACUCAUGGUAGCUGCGCAAAAUUUUCGAAGGGAUGGAAGUAUGUGCUACAAGCAAAUCCAGAAUUACGGAGGCACAUGCUGCUACAUCGAUCACAAAUUUACACAUCAGAUAUUUGGUUUAAUGUCACAUUUUUUACGUGCAAUUAAACCUUUUGGUCAACACAAGCACGUGAAGAAUUGGAGCGACAUGGUUUAGGUGCUUUUGUAACAGUUUAUCAUCUCGACGUGUCUCAACUGAGUUUUGCCAAUGAGCUAGAGGGCAAAGCAGAUGCAUUUUUAGACCUAAGUUGGCCGUACCAUUAGCAGUUAAAACAGAAAUCAGAGGGAGGCCCUUUUUUGAUUCAUUUUCACCUUGUAUUGAGAAAUGAUAACGUUGUUGUAUCGCCUUACAAGGACAUGGAUUCACCGAAAUUAGUUCCAUGGGAAUACUACAGCAAAAGCAUGGAUGUUAAGACUGGAAUGGUGUCCGUGGUAGAUUAGUAUUCCUGAAGUAUAAGUUUGCUGGUCUGGUCGAAAAGUUCGAUUUAUGGAAGAACAUUUGUAUGGAAUUUGCCUUCUAUUGCCACUUCAAGAGUUUGAGUUAUAGAAGUUCGAGUUAUGGAAAGAAAUUUGUACGAAAAUUGGUUCCUAAACGCUAUUGCUAACUCAAAAGUUCAAGUUAUGGAGAUCUUCGAGUUAUAGAAGUUCGAGUUAUGGAAGUUCCUCUGUAUAUUAAACUGCUGCACAAGCAGGCUUAAGCUCCAGUUACCCAUACUUGACUUGACUCAGCUUCGAAAAAUUUGACUUGGAAAACUUAGAUGCAGUUAUAUUAAACACAGCGCGUAGAAAUCAGCUGUUUUUGAAUGUUGAGAGAGCACACAAAUGUGACAUUUUAAUUGAUUUGUGAAGUUUGUGAAAAUUUAAUAAAUAAUAAAACAAAUUGUUUUACCGAAUACCUUAAUAAUAAUAAUAAAUUUUAAUAAUGGAUAGUGAUUUAUUCCAAGAACUUGUUUAUUUAAAUAUUCUUCGCCUUCAAAGAAGAAAAGUUUUGAGAAGACGUAAACGCCGCUGGUCCGUUCAUCCAGCUAAUCGGGAUAGAAACCCAAAUGGUUUCUUCUGGAAGAACUUUUUAAAAUUAAAAGAAGACGACCAAAAACUAUUUCUUUUAACACGGAUGAAUCGGACAGUGUACAAUAUUCUUUUAAAUAUAAUUAGUCCGUUUUUUAAAAAACCAAAACAACAAGUUGGCGUCGAGGAGCGAGUGGUUAUAACAUUAAUGUACCUCGCUUAUGGAACACCUUUUGAGGUCAUAGCCUCGAUGCAUAAGUUAGGCAAAACAACAGUGUGGAAUAUCGUACUUGAAACGUGUGAAAUACUUUGGUUACAUCUGUCCCCGAUAUACCUUAGCGAGCCAAGUACCGCACAAUAUAAAGAUAUUGCUGCAGAUUUUUUAAAACUGUGGAAUAUACCCAACUAUAGCAAUCUAAAUUUGGUAAAGCGCUCUUGAAAACAAAUUGCCACUACCACCAAGAGCUCCAUUGUGGAAUGAAUCCUCAACAGAUUUUCCACAUUUUUUUGUGGCCGACGCAGCGUUUCCGUUGAAGGAAAACUUAAUGCGACCUUACCCCGGUGCACAGCUGCCACGAAACAAAGCAAUUUUCAAUUACCGGUUAUCGCGAGCUCGUAGAGUAAUCGAAAAUAGCUUUGGUAUUUUAACCGCUCGAUGGCGUGUUCUACGAAAGGUCAUAGACUUUAGCCCAAAGAACUGCGAAACAAUUGUGUUAACCUGCUUGGUUCUUCACAUUUUUGUAAUGUUGAAUGACCAUGAUCGUUGGUAUUGUCCAGAUACAUUUGUAGACACAGACACCGCAGACCAUGGAAUAUUGGAGGGAGAAUGGCGUGAAGAUUUAGAGAGUGUUGGAGGUGCAUUACAUUCAAUAAGUUCAACUCGACGCAAUGCAUCUUGUAUCGCAUUCCGUGUAAGGGAUUUUUUGGCAGAAUAUUUUAUUAACCAGGGAGCAGUUUCAUUUCAAGAAGAUCGUAUUUAGUGUAUAUUUAUUUUAUUUAUAUUUAUAUUUAUUUAUAUCGUAUUUAAUGUGUAAAAUUGUAAUCCAAGUAUGAAGUACUAUACUUUUUGUUACGUUAACUUUUUUAUGAUAUUUUAUUAAACCAUAUGUUUACAUGACUUAGUAACAUAUUUUUCCGCGCUUUGUAUGUGUGUGGUGAAUCUUAGUAACCCUCAUUAAUUUUAUUAAACUUGUAACAAACCAAUUGUAUUUCAUCAAAGAGAAUUUCCAUUUAAUAAACCUAAUAAUAAUUUUUAUAACGUUUUACAAAUAUCGUGUGUUUGCCCCUUUCACAUACUGGUUAUAAUUCCGCACGUAAGUAUACCUGUGUCAUACGUAUACACCAUAGAUAUAUCUAUAAAUAUUGUUUUAUUUACUGAAAAAGAUGUUAAUUAUCUGUAUUAGGAAGAUUACACAGGCAUAUGGCAAAUGAAUUCUGUAUAGUAAAGUUUAUUACGAAAAUAUAUAUGUAUAUAUUUUAUUUACCGACAAAAUCAUAAUUAUGACGGUAUCUAAUUAGUAAAUAAAAUAAGACAUAGGCUGUAUAAUCAAAUAAAUGUACAUACAAAAUAGGAUAAUUUUUCCCUAUCAAAAUCACUACCAACAUAACUACAUAACACACAAAAAAUAAAAGACAAAGACACAAAA